GACGAACGCUGGCGGCGUGCUUAACACAUGCAAGUCGAACGGACAGGCCCUGCUUUUGUGGGGUGCUCGAGUGGCGAACGGGUGAGUAACACGUGAGUAACCUGCCCUUGUCUUUGUGAUAACUUCUCGAAACUGGGGCUAAUACCGGAUAUGAGCUCCUGCUGCAUGGUGGGGGUUGGAAAGUUUCGGCGGUUGGGGAUGGACUCGCGGCUUAUCCGCUUGUUGGUGGGGUAGUGGCUUACCAAGGCUUUGACGGGUAGCCGGCCUGAGAGGGUGACCGGCGACAUUGGGACUGAGAGACGGACCAGACGCCUACGGGAGGCAGCAGUGGAGAAUAUUGCACAAUGGGCGGAAGCGUGAUGCAGCAACGCCGCGUGCGGGAUGACGGCCUUCGGGGUGUAAACCGCUUUCGCCUGUGACGAAGCGUGAGUGACGGUAAUGGGUAAAGAAGCACCGGCUAACUACGUG
rnacentral:rRNA from 1 species